UACGUAGGGUGCAAGCGUUAAUCGGAAUUACUGGGCGUAAAGCGUGCGCAGGCGGUUUUGUAAGUCUGUCGUGAAAUCCCCGGGCUUAACCUGGGAACUGCAGUCGAGACUGUCUAGCUAGAGUAUGGGAGAGGGAAGUGGAAUUUCAGGUGUAGCGGUGAAAUGCGUAGAUAUCUGAAGGAACAUCAGUGGCGAAAGCGACUUCCUGGACCAAUACUGACGCUCAUGUGCGAAAGCGUGGGGAGCAAACAGG
rnacentral:rRNA from 1 species